rnacentral:rRNA from 1 species
AGCGAAGCGCUGUUUUCAGAAUCUUCGGAGGAAGAGGACAGUGACUGAGCGGCGGACGGGUGAGUAACGCGUGGGCAACCUGCCUCAUACAGGGGGAUAACAGUUAGAAAUGACUGCUAAUACCGCAUAAGCGCACAGGACCGCAUGGUGUAGUGUGAAAAACUCCGGUGGUAUGAGAUGGACCCGCGUCUGAUUAGGUAGUUGGUGGGGUAAAGGCCUACCAAGCCGACGAUCAGUAGCCGACCUGAGAGGGUGACCGGCCACAUUGGGACUGAGACACGGCCCAAACUCCUACGGGAGGCAGCAGUGGGGAAUAUUGCACAAUGGGGGAAACCCUGAUGCAGCGACGCCGCGUGAAGGAAGAAGUAUUUCGGUAUGUAAACUUCUAUCAGCAGGGAAGAAGAUGACGGUACCUGAGUAAGAAGCACCGGCUAAAUACGUGCCAGCAGCCGCGGUAAUACGUAUGGUGCAAGCGUUAUCCGGAUUUACUGGGUGUAAAGGGAGCGUAGACGGAUAGGCAAGUCUGGAGUGAAAACCCAGGGCUCAACCCUGGGACUGCUUUGGAAACUGCAGAUCUGGAGUGCCGGAGAGGUAAGCGGAAUUCCUAGUGUAGCGGUGAAAUGCGUAGAUAUUAGGAGGAACACCAGUGGCGAAGGCGGCUUACUGGACGGUGACUGACGUUGAGGCUCGAAAGCGUGGGGAGC